UACGGGGGGGGCAAGCGUUGUUCGGAAUUACUGGGCGUAAAGGGCUCGUAGGCGGCCAACUAAGUCAGACGUGAAAUCCCUCGGCUUAACCGGGGAACUGCGUCUGAUACUGGAUGGCUUGAGUUUGGGAGAGGGAUGCGGAAUUCCAGGUGUAGCGGUGAAAUGCGUAGAUAUCUGGAGGAACACCGGUGGCGAAGGCGGCAGCCUGGACCAACGCUGACGCUGAGGGAGCGAAAGCCAGGGGAGCAAACGGG
rnacentral:rRNA from 1 species